rnacentral:rRNA from 1 species
AUUGAACGCUGGCGGCAGGCUUAACACAUGCAAGUCGAGCGGGGUGAUGGUGCUUGCACUAUCACUUAGCGGCGGACGGGUGAGUAAUGCUUAGGAAUCUGCCUAUGAGUGGGGGACAACAUCUCGAAAGGGAUGCUAAUACCGCAUACGUCCUACGGGAGAAAGCAGGGGAUCACUUGUGACCUUGCGCUAAUAGAUGAGCCUAAGUCGGAUUAGUUAGUUGGUGGGGUAAAGGCCUACCAAGGCGACGAUCUGUAGCGGGUCUGAGAGGAUGAUCCGCCACACUGGGACUGAGACACGGCCCAGACUCCUACGGGAGGCAGCAGUGGGGAAUAUUGGACAAUGGGGGGAACCCUGAUCCAGCCAUGCCGCGUGUGUGAGGAAGGCCUUAUGGUUGUAAAGCACUUUAAGCGAGGAGGAGGCUCUUUUGGUUAAUACCCAGAAUGAGUGGACGUUACUCGCAGAAUAAGCACCGGCUAACUCUGUGCCAGCAGCCGCCGUAACAC